rnacentral:rRNA from 1 species
CCUGGCUCAGAUUGAACGCUAGCGGGAUGCCUUACACAUGCAAGUCGAACGGCAGCACGGACUUCGGUCUGGUGGCGAGUGGCGAACGGGUGAGUAAUGUAUCGGAACGUGCCUAGUAGCGGGGGAUAACUACGCGAAAGCGUAGCUAAUACCGCAUACGCCCUACGGGGGAAAGCAGGGGAUCGUAAGAACUUGCACUAUUAGAGCGGACGAUAUCGGAUUAGCUAGUUUGUGGUGUAAUAGCUCACCAAGGCGACGAUCCGUAGCUGGUUUGAGAGGACGACCAGCCACACUGGGACUGAGACACGGCCCAGACUCCUACUU